rnacentral:rRNA from 1 species
GACAAACGCUAGCGGCGUGUAUUAGGCAUGCAAGUCGCACGGUCACCUCGCAAGAGGUGGCAGUGGCGGACGGGUGAGUAACACGUGGGUAACCUGCCUCGCAGUGGGGAAUAACUCGCCGAAAGGCGAGCUAAUACCGCAUACCACUCUCGGUGAGAAUCCGAGCAGUAAAAGUAGCAAUGCGCUGUGAGAGGGGCCCGCGGCCGAUUAGCUUGUUGGUGGGGAACGGCCUACCAAGGCGACGAUCGGUAGCUGGUCUGAGAGGAUGGUCAGCCACACGGGGACUGAGAUACGGCCCCGACUCCUACGGGAGGCAGCAGCUAAGAAUCUUGCGCAAUGAGCGAAGGCUUGACGCAGCAACGCCGCGUGGAGGACGAAGGCCCUCGGGUCGUAAACUCCUUUUGUGAGGGAAGAAGAUCUGACGGUACCUCACGAAUAAGCCACGGCUAACUACGUGCCAGCAGCCGCU